rnacentral:snRNA from 1 species
AUCGCUUCUCGGCCUUUGGCUAGGAUCAAGUGUAGCAUUUGUAAAAUAGUACCUUAGAGUUAUUUUUUAAAGAAAAUUUUUAAGUGAAUUAUCUUUC